rnacentral:rRNA from 1 species
UCGCUUGCCAGGGGACUACGAGCCCCAGCUUGAAACCCAAAGGACUUGGCGGUGCUUUAGACCCCCCUAGAGGAGCCUGUUCUAGAACCGAUAACCCCCGUUUAACCUCACCCCCUCUUGUUCCCCCCGCCUAUAUACCGCCGUCGUCAGCUUACCCUGUGAAGGACUAACAGUGAGCAUAAUUGGCACAGCCUAAAACGUCAGGUCGAGGUGUAGCGUAUGAGGGGGGAAGAAAUGGGCUACAUUCACUGAGCCAGUGAAUAACGAACGAUGCUUUGAAACAACCAUCUGAAGGAGGAUUUAGCAGUAAGAGGGCAGUAGAGCGCCCUCUG